AACAGAACAGAAGGCAACGUGUCAGAGUCUGUUCAAGCUACAAAAAUAUUUGACCCUUACAUUUCCACAAAAAAAUAAAUAAAACUAAUAAAAAGGAUAAGCAUGAGACAGUUAGAACCUUGAAAAACUGGAGAAAUUAAAAAGCUCAAAAUACACAAAACACAGCAGAAUCUAAAACCUAAUCAUGACAAUAAGAAAAUAAUCUAAAAACAUUAAAAUAUUGUUCAUGUAUUUGUUUCUAAACAAGUGAUGGGCAGAUGUUUUUAUUAAUUAAAUAGGAACUAAAAUUAGAUUAAUGUAGCAAUGUGAUCCUAAUAGAUAAACUCCAAUUCAAAUGUAUUUCCAUUUCAACAAAUGCAAGCCUGCUUUUAAGUUAAUCUUACUUUUCUUAAACUAAGGUUGCCCAAGCCAAGUCCUAAAGAGCUACUAUCCUGCAACUUGUAGAUGCACCCCUUCACAAGCACACCUGAAUCUCAUAAAUGUCUCAUUGCCUCUGCAGAGCUGACGGACAUGCCGAUGAGGGAGAUCACCCUUCUGAUUUAGGGCGUUAGAAGGAAUGAAUCUCAAAGUUGCGGGAUGCUAGCUCUCGAGGACCAGACUUGGGCAUCCCCAAACUAAUGCAUAACUCAUCUCUCAGAGACUGUUUUUAAAAAUUUAAAUUCACAUACAGGCAUUUACAAUGAAUCCAAUUAAUCAAGUCUACUUCAUAAGUGCAGACAACCAGGAUAAUACAAGCUGGACAGACAAUACCGGACUGGACCACCAGUUGAUGACAGCUGCACAGAAACUGAAGAAGAGGAAGAGGAGUGAGGACGAACAAGUGAAUUCCUCCUAGGUGUUAGGGGUGGUCUGCGAGAUGGAGAAGUCAACGAUGCCGAGCUCCUCGUAGUUGUUGGCUAGAACAUCAAAGACGCGGGCCAGGCAGCAAGCGUGUGAUGGCAGCUGGUACUGCAGCACGCUCUUAUGUCUCUCCUUCAGCUCAAUGAUGGGAAAAGACGUCCUCAUGUAGGUGUCAACUGGACAGGAGUCAGCGUCCAACUUGGUGUCCGCCAGACGGAGGAUGAUGGUGUAUCCAUCUCCAAAUCUGACCAAAAGAUGGAAGAAGACAAAAUGUGAAGGUGUUCGCCGCAAUGGUUUUCUUCACUACAAAACAAAUAUAAAUGAGAAUGUUUGCUGAUGUUUCCUUAGAAUCAAAAGCAGAUCAUUGACCAUUUCAACUGUGGGUCCAAUAAGCACCCAAAACUACUAAAACAAAUUACACACUUUGGAAAAAAGUCAAAUUACUUACCCACACACAGCCAUGGGUCAUCCUUUGAUCAAUAAAAUCCUGACUUGUGACAAAACCUCUUUUUUUAUUGAGGUUCCAACAAGUUUUCAACAACCAAAACAAAAAUCUUUUCACUUUGUCCUAAAUUAAUAAUUUACAUUGUAGCUGUUGUGUAUAAUUUCAAUAUUGAUGUUUUUCAAAUAUAAUUUUUUAAAACUGGGUAAUGCUGGCUGUGAACGUGUUGAUUGGCUUCAGGUUUUUCCAAAUUACAUCUAAAACAUUUUAUUCCCACUUUCAGCUCUGUGGAUAUUUUAGUUUUCACUGAAACAUUUCCAUUAGACUUUUAAUAAAUUAGUGCAAGCCUUGUAUCUUUUUUUAACAGCUUGUUCUAUUGUGUUAUUAUCUCAAAUAUAUCUUAUUGAUAAUAAAACUCUUAUUAAUCCUUUAGUCCCAA